CACGUAGGGGACGAGCGUUGUCCGGAAUCAUUGGGCGUAAAGAGCGUGUAGGCGGCCCGAUAAGUCCGCCGUGAAAGUCCAGGGCUCAACCCUGGAAUGCCGGUGGAAACUGUCGGGCUGGAGUCCGGAAGAGGCGAGUGGAAUUCCUGGUGUAGCGGUGAAAUGCGCAGAUAUCAGGAGGAACACCAAUGGCGAAGGCAGCUCGCUGGGACGGUACUGACGCUGAGACGCGAAAGCGUGGGGAGCAAACAGG
rnacentral:rRNA from 1 species